rnacentral:lncRNA from 1 species
GGGAUCAGCAGCGCCGUCCACUUGAAGGCAUACAGCUCCCCCCCCUCGUCGCCGCUGCCCUCUGCUCCGGCGGCCUUGGAGGUGACGGUGAAGCGGGUCUCCACUCCGGCGACGACCUUCAGCAGCCCCUGCGCCACCGCCGCCAGGUGAGCGGAGACUCCUCCGAUGACCCAGAACUGCUCGUUCCGCCACCACUCCUCCACGCUCACCCCGCUCCAUCUCAGCUCCAGGACCCCCGUGGCGACGAUGGACGCGAACAGUCCGAUGAACACGAGGCUCUCCAGCGCCCCAAUCUGCAUGAAAUACCAGAACCAGAGUCAGCCCUUCAUCAGCCCCCUCUCCGGCGGUCAGCGGCGGAGAUUUUACUCACCGG